UGUGCACCGUUCUAUGCAUAGAGUUCGUCAUGGAAGUCCAGUUCCAACAUUGCUGAUGGGCCAAUGAAGGGAGGUGGGGUUUUCUGGGCUGCGAGGUUUUCUGGGCUGCAAUGUGGAGGUCAGCCACACAGUGAGCCAGCAUCCCGUGUGUACAGCAUGUGUACAUGCAUACAACGCAGUGGAUGCUGACGAGGGUGUGCAGGCCAGUGUAGGAUGGCUCUGGGAUGGAAGGAGCAUCUCUCAUGCACCUGUGCAGGUGCAACGUGUCCUCUGCUGGCUUGACGUGGACGCUCCCCAGUACCAGAGAAUGGCAGCAGCUUUGUGCCCCUGCAAGCCCUGAUUCGAGAGGAGGCUGGAGGCGUGCUGUCUCCGGCUGAGGAUGGAGGAUACCCUACAACUAACAGGCAUGAUGCCAUCAAGACAUCUUGAGCCUGGCUACCUCCCGUGGCCUGUAUUUUGUCCACAGGAAACUCGCGCAGUCUCACUACAGCAAAUUGAGGUGGUAUGGGGUGCCUGCUGCUGCCUCUCUCUUCACCUUUCCACAGAGGGCUGCCCCAGCCUGACUCCCACUUCCAGAGUUUCUCCAGCCAGGAGAAUCCUGAAAUCUCUGUAAAUAAGCAAUCCAGGAGCCAGAGAAUCAUGGGAUCUCAUAUAAACAAAUCAUCAAGGAAAAACACAGCCAGAGUCUCCAUUUGGUAAACCUCCGUGACUGGGGAUCCCCGGCCACCCAGAAAGCAGUAUUGCCUGCCAUGCAUGUCAUCACUGAUUUUUACUGCUGCAGCAGACUCCGUCAGACCUGCCUGCUGCUUCAGCGAAUUGUUCAGUGCACACCACCAGCUACCUGCUGUAAGCAUUCACACUCCUCUACCUGCCUGGCAGCAUUUCUCAGCUGAACACAGGCCAGGCCAGAAGUGCCAGGGAUUUAAUGCCCUUAGAAGUAGCUCUCUACCAAUGACAAAUGGAGCUGGUGGAUACAUUCUCAGCUUCCUCCCCUCUCAGGUGGAACAGCCCUGAGAUGUGCUCUAUGCAAUCUCCCACAAGUCCCCAGCAGGCUCAAGCUCCCAUUGUCCAACCCUGGUAACCUGCUCAUUGACACCCCUGUCUUGCCUUCCCUUCCUGGCCUCACUUUCUCACUCUCUUACUGUUGCCUCCUGAGAUCGCAUCCAAAAUAAAUGACCUGCACCCAGA
rnacentral:lncRNA from 10 species